CAUUAUGUUUACAUUCGUAUAUGCUGGUUGGGAAGGAAGUGAGAAUGAUUCUCGCAUAUUCUUAUAUGCAAUUUCAAAGCCUGAAAGUGGGUUUCCCAUGGCACCCGAAGGUUAUUACUACGUUGUUGAUGGUGGUUUCCCAAAUGUAACUAGUUUUUUUGGCACCAUAUACCGCGGGGAGCACUAUCACUUGAAUGAGUUUCGUGGCCAAGGACAAAUACGAAAUAAGCAAGCCCUAUUUAAUUAUCGACACUCAUCAUUGCGGAAUGUGAUUGAGAGAUGUUUUGGACUUUUAAAGGCGAGAUUUUCAAUUCUAAAGUCCAUUAAUGGCUACCCAUUGAUUAGACAAAGACAAUCCCUAUUGCAUGUUGUGCAUUACACAAUUUCAUACGGUUGGAAGAUAUGGAUGAUCAAUUAGGUAUGAUGUACGGAACGCAAAACAUGAUUUUGGAUGAUGAUGGUGGAAGUACUAGUGGAGGUGAAAAUGAUACAAUACAAUUAGAUAUGAGUCAACAACAUAAAAUGCUACAACUGCAUGAGGACAUUGCAAAUGCACUCUGGGCAAGUUAUAAUCAUUGAUGAUGUACUCAAUUUAAUUUGUAGAUGUUUUAGUAA